CUGCCCCAAUAUUGCAUCAUAGCAGCAACCCACACAGAGAAAAGAGGUGUGCUGUUUUAGACCCUGAGCGUGUGCUAUAUUAGCACCACAGUGUGCUAAACAGUGAUUCAGCACACUACAUGUGCUGUUUUGUAGGCAUAUAGCACAGCGUAUGUGUUGUAUUGGUGUGCUUUUUCAUGGCUUGUAAUUUUGAUGUUCGAUUACAUGUGCUAAAUGGACUGUGCUAAAUGUAAUGGGUGUGCUGAAACAGGUAAACAUGCUAAUUCAGCACAGUGUGCUGUUUUCAGUACCAAAUAAGGGCAUGCAGUACAACAGAUGUGCACCCGCAGCUGCAUAGCAACAAAGAUUUUUUUUUUUUGCUGUUCUUGCAAAGAAGAAAAGAAGUUGAGUUUAGACAUGGUUUGAGAGCUGUUUGAAAAAACUGUGGAACUAGGUGAUGCUGAGAAGUCAAAGGCAGUAUCUUGCAAUUGCAGUGAUCUGAGUGCAGACUUGCUAUGUUUAACUAUGUUAAAAGAAACCUUUCACUUUUGUAUAUCCUUAUCGUUUGUUUAGAUACAAUUUUAAUACUGAAUUGAUGUAUUGUUGUUUUUAAUG